AAUGAACGCUGGCGGCGUGGUUAAGACAUGCAAGUCGAACGGUUUUCAUUGAAGGGCAACCGGAUAUGAAAGCAGCGGCGAACGGGUGCGUAACACGUGAACAAUCUACCUUCAAGUGGGGAAUAGCUCGCCGAAAGGCGAAUUAAUACCGCAUGUGGUCGGGGCUCGCAUGAGCCUUGAACUAAAGUCAGGGAUCCCGCGCAAGCGGGACCUGACGCUCGAAGAGGAGC
rnacentral:rRNA from 1 species